rnacentral:rRNA from 1 species
GGACUACCCGGGUAUCUAAUCCUGUUUGCUCCCCUUGCUCUCGCGCAUCAGCGUCAGGUAAAAGCUAGAAAACCGCUUUCGCCACAGGUGUUCUUCCACAUAUCUACGCAUUUCACCGCUACACGUGGAAUUCCAUUUUCUCCGCCAUCCCUCUAGACUCACAGUUUCAAAUGCAGCUCCGAAGUUGAGCUUCGGAAUUUCACAUCUGACUUACAAAUCCGCCUACGCGCCCUUUACGCCCAAUAAAUCCGAUUAAUGCUUGCACCCUCCGUAUUACCGCGGCUGCUGGCAC